rnacentral:lncRNA from 1 species
GUAUGCAUGUUUUCCUUCUACCCACGUGUGAGUUAAGAACUCUAACUAUUGAGAGAAAAAUAAAUGUGAGUUAAGAACUUUGAGAAACAAAGUGUGAGAAAGUCUCACAUAGAUUAGAAAAGUUGAGACUUGAACAUUUAUAAUAUGAAAGAACUUGCACACCAAUCACCUUCAGGUUUUGGGUGAGUUGUGGUGUGUCUCUCAUAAAGUAUGUUACACAUAAAAAAUGAUACAAUGAACAUAAAUGCUCCCUCGUGUUGAACCCUCAUAAUUGACGACUCAACAAUGGUAUCAGAAACAUUUGGUUCUUAGUGCAUGACCAACUUUCUUGUAUCGAAAGUACUCCCCACAAAUGGUGGAUAUGAGGUGUCCAGUUGAAGAGUGUAAACAGUGGCAUAAGAGCUUCCGCUUGAGGGAUAAUAUUGUGGAUAAACUCACGUUUGAGAUGGAGUAUUGAGAAAAAACCAUGUGUGAGUUAAGAACUUUGAUAAACAAAGUAUGAAAAGUCUCACAUUGAUUAGAAAAGUGGAGAUUUGAU